rnacentral:rRNA from 1 species
GACGAACGCUGGCGGCGUGCCUAAUACAUGCAAGUCGAGCGAUGUUUUUCUGGUGCUUGCACUAGAAAAACUUAGCGGCGAACGGGUGAGUAACACGUAAAGAACCUGCCUCAUAGACUGGGACAACUAUUGGAAACGAUAGCUAAUACCGGAUAACAGUAUUUCUCGCAUGAGAGAUAUUUAAAAGUUGGUUAUGCUAACACUAUGAGAUGGCUUUGCGGUGCAUUAGCUAGUUGGUGGGGUAAAGGCCCACCAAGGCGACGAUGCAUAGCCGACCUGAGAGGGUGAUCGGCCACACUGGGACUGAGACACGGCCCAGACUCCUACGGGAGGCAGCAGUAGGGAAUCUUCCGCAAUGGGCGAAAGCCUGACGGAGCAACGCCGCGUGAGUGAAGAAGGAUUUCGGUUCGUAAAGCUCUGUUGUUAGGGAAGAAUGGAUAUGUAGUAACUAUACAUGUAAGAGACGGUACCUAACCAGAAAGCCACGGCUAACUACGUG